GAUGAACGCUGGCGGCGUGCCUAAUACAUGCAAGUCGAGCGAACGGACGAGAAGCUUGCUUCUCUGAUGUUAGCGGCGGACGGGUGAGUAACACGUGGAUAACCUACCUAUAAGACUGGGAUAACUUCGGGAAACCGUAGCUAAUACCGGAUAAUAUUUUGAACCGCAUGGUUCAAAAGUGAAAGACGGUCUUGCUGUCACUUAUAGAUGGAUCCGCGCUGCAUUAGCUAGUUGGUAAGGUAACGGCUUACCAAGGCAACGAUGCAUAGCCAACCUGAGAGGGUGAUCGGCCACACUGGAACUGAGACACGGUCCAAACUCCUACGGGAGGCAGCAGUAGGGAAUCUUCCGCAAUGGGCGAAAGCCUGACGGAGCAACGCCGCGUGAGUGAUGAAGGUCUUCGGAUCGUAAAACUCUGUUAUUAGGGAAGAACAUAUGUGUAAGUAACUGUGCACAUCUUGACGGUACCUAAUCAGAAAGCCACGGCUAACUACGUG
rnacentral:rRNA from 1 species